AAGUCGUAACAAGGUUUCCGUAGGUGAACCUGCGGAAGGAUCAUUACAGAGAACAUCGCCCUCACGGGUGACUCUCCAACCCUAUGUUAUUGUACCUUUGUUGCUUUGGCGAGCCGCUUCGGCCACCGGCUUCUGCUGGUGUGUGCUCGCCAGAGGACCCCAAACUCUGAAUAUUAAUGUCGUCUGAGUACUAUAUAAUAGUUAAAACUUUCAACAACGGAUCUCUUGGUUCUG
rnacentral:misc_RNA from 1 species